rnacentral:rRNA from 1 species
UACGGAGGAUGCGAGCGUUAUCCGGAUUUAUUGGGUUUAAAGGGUGCGUAGGCGGUCCGGAAAGUCAGCGGUAAAGGCCCGGGGCUCAACCCCGGCGAGCCGUUGAAACUGUCGGACUAGAGACGGCGAGAAGUACGCGGAAUGCGCGGUGUAGCGGUGAAAUGCAUAGAUAUCGCGCAGAACUCCGAUUGCGAAGGCAGCGUACCGGCGCCGGACUGACGCUGAGGCACGAAAGCGUGGGUAUCGAACAGG